ensembl:lncRNA
AUGGGUGUGUGUGGUGUGUGGUGUGUUGUGUGGUGUGUGGGUGGGCGUGUGUGGUGUGUGGUAUCUUGUGUGGUAUGUGGAUGGGCAUGUGUGGUGUGUGGUGUGUUGUGUGGUGUGUGUGGUGUAUGGUGUGUGUGGUGUGUUGUGUGGUAUGUUGUGUGGUGUGUGGAUGGGCAUAUGUGGUGUGUGGUGUGUUGUGUGGUGUGUGUGGUGUAUGGUGUGUGUGGUGUGUUGUGUGGUAUGUUGUGUGUGGUGUGUGGAUGGGUGUGUGUGGUGUGUGGUGUGUUGUGUGGUGUGUGUGGUGUAUGGUGUGUGUGGUGUGUGGUGUGUUGUGUGGUGUGUGGAUGGGCGUGUGUGGUGUGUUGUGUGGUGUAUGUGGUGUAUGGUGUCUGUGGUGUGUGUGGUAUGUUGUGUGGUGUGUGUGGUGUGUGUGUUCUGUGUGUGGUGUGUGGAUGGGUGUGUGUGUUGUGUGGAGUGUGGUGUGUGGAGUGGUGUGUGGUGUGUGUGGUGUGUUGUGUGGUGUAUGUGGUGUGUUGUGUGGUUUGUGGAUGGGUGUGUGUGUGUUGUGUUGUGUGUGGUGUGUUGUGUUGUGUGUGGAUGGGUGUGUGUGGUGCAUUGUGUGUUGUGUCAUGUGUAUGGUGUGCUGUGUGGUGUAUGGUGUGUGUGUUGUGUGGAUGGGUGUGUGUGGUGGGUUGUGUGUUGUGUGGAUGGGUGUGUGUGGUGUGUUGUGUGUUGUGUGGUGUGUGGUGUGUGUGGUGUGUGGAUGGGUGUGUGUGGUGUGUUGUGUGGUGUGUGUGGUGUGUGGUGUGUUGUGUGGUGUGUGGAUGGGCGUGUGUGGUGUGUUGUGUGGUGUGUGUGGUGUAUGGUGUGUGUGGUGUGAUGUGUGGUAUGUUGUGUGGUGUGUGUGGUGUGUGGAUGGGUGUGUGUGUUGUGUGGUGUGUGUGUUGUGUGUGUGGUGUGUGGAUGGGUGUGUGUGGUGUGUGGAGUGGUGUGUGGUGUGUGUGGUGUGUUGUGUGGUUUGUGGAUGGGUGUGUGUGUGUUGUGUGUGGUGUGUGGUGUGUUUUGUGGUGUGUGGAUGGGUGUGUGGUGCGUUGUGUGUUGUGUCAUGUGUAUGGUGUGCUGUGUGGUGUAUGGUGUGUGUGUUGUGUGGAUGGGUGUGUGUGGUGUGUUGUGUGUUGUGUUGUGUGUGUGAUGUGUGGAUGGGUGUGUGUGGUGGGUUGUGUGUUGUGUGGAUGGGUGUGGGUGGUGUGUUGUGUGGUGUGUGGUGUGUGGUGUGUGUGGUGUGUGUGGCAUGUGGAUGGGUGUGUGUGGUGUGUUGUGUGGUGUGUGUGGUGUGUCGUGUGGUGUGUGGAUGGGCAUGUGUGGUGUGUGGUGUGUUGUGUGGUGUGUGUGGUGUAUGGUGUGUGUGGUGUGUUGUGUGGUGUGUGGAUGGGCGUGUGUGGUGUAUGGUGUGUUGUGUGGUGUGUGUGGUGUAUGGUGUGUGUGGUGUGGUGUGUGGUAUGUUGUGUGGUGUGUGUGGUGUGUGGAUGGGUGUGUGUGUUGUGUGUUGUGUGGAGUGUGUGGUGUGUGGUGUGUUGUGUGGUGUCUGUGGUGUGUUGUGUGGUGUGUGGAUGGGUGUGUGUGUUGUGUUGUGUGGUGUGUGGAUGGGUGUGUGUUGUGUGGUGUGUGUGGAUGGGUGUGUGUGUGUUGUGUUGUGUGGUGUAUGGUGUGUGUGGUGUGUUGUGUGGUGUGUGUGGUGUAUUGUGUGGUGUGUGGAUGGGUGUGUGUGGUGCGUUGUGUGUUGUGUCAUGUGUAUGGUGUGCUGUGUGGUGUAUGGUGUGUGUGUUGUGUGAAUGGGUGUGUUGUGUGUUGUGUUGUGUGUGA